rnacentral:rRNA from 1 species
GGUUGUGCCCUUGAGGCGUGGCUUCCGGAGCUAACGCGUUAAGUCGACCGCCUGGGGAGUACGGCCGCAAGGUUAAAACUCAAAUGAAUUGACGGGGGCCCGCACAAGCGGUGGAGCAUGUGGUUUAAUUCGAUGCAACGCGAAGAACCUUACCUACUCUUGACAUCCAGAGAACUUAGCAGAGAUGCUUUGGUGCCUUCGGGAACUCUGAGACAGGUGCUGCAUGGCUGUCGUCAGCUCGUGUUGUGAAAUGUUGGGUUAAGUCCCGCAACGAGCGCAACCCUUAUCCUUUGUUGCCAGCGGUUCGGCCGGGAACUCAAAGGAGACUGCCAGUGAUAAACUGGAGGAAGGUGGGGAUGACGUCAAGUCAUCAUGGCCCUUACGAGUAGGGCUACACACGUGCUACAAUGGCGCAUACAAAGAGAAGCGACCUCGCGAGAGCAAGCGGACCUCAUAAAGUGCGUCGUAGUCCGGAUUGGAGUCUGCAACUCGACUCCAUGAAGUCGGAAUCGCUAGUAAUCGUAGAUCAGAAUGCUACGGUGAAUACGUUCCCGGGCCUUGCACUCACCGCCCGUCA